AUGAACGCUGGCGGCGUGCCUAAUACCUGCAAGUCGAGCGAACAGACGAGGAGCUUGCUCCUCUGACGUUAGCGGCGGACGGGUGAGUAACACGUGGAUAACCUACCUAUAAGACUGGGAUGACUUCGGGAAACCGGAGCUAAUACCGGAUAAUAUAUUGAACCGCAUGGUUCAAUAGUGAAAGACGGUUUUGCUGUCACUUAUAGAUGGAUCCGCGCCGCAUUAGCUAGUUGGUAAGGUAACGGCUUACCAAGGCGACGAUGCGUAGCCGACCUGAGAGGGUGAUCGGCCACACUGGAACUGAGACACGGUCCAGACUCCUACGGGAGGCAGCAGUAGGGAAUCUUCCGCAAUGGGCGAAAGCCUGACGGAGCAACGCCGCGUGAGUGAUGAAGGUCUUCGGAUCGUAAAACUCUGUUAUUAGGGAAGAACAAAUGUGUAAGUAACUAUGCACGUCUUGACGGUACCUAAUCAGAAAGCCACGGCUAACUACGUG
rnacentral:rRNA from 1 species